rnacentral:rRNA from 1 species
AUUGAACGCUGGCGGCAUGCUUUACACAUGCAAGUCGAACGGUAACAGGGAGCUUUCUCUGCUGUCGCGUUGCCAACGGGUGAGUAAUAUAUCCGAACGUACCCAACCUUUGGGGCUAACGUAACUUCGGUUACGCUAAUCCCACAUCCGAUCUUAUGAUGAAACCCGGGGUCCUUCGGUCCUUGUCCUUCUUGCUCUCCCUUUAUCGGAUUAGCUAGUUGGUGAGGUAAAGGCUCACCAAGGCGACGAUCAGUAGCUGGUCUGAGAGGACGACCUGCCACACUGGAACUGAGACACGGUCCAGACUCCUACGGGAGGCAGCAGUGGGGAAUUUUGGACAAUGGGCGCAAGCCUGAUCCAGCAAUGCCGCGUGAGUGAAGAAGGCCUUCGGGUUGUAAAGCUCUUUUGUCAGGGAAGAAACGGGAUUGGAGAAUAUCCAGUCCUAAUGACGGUACCUGAAGAAUAAGCAACGGCUAACUACGUG